rnacentral:rRNA from 1 species
UAAUUCCUACGGGGCGCAGCAGUGAGGAAUAUUGGUCAAUGGCCGAAGGGCUGAACCAGCCAAGCCGCGUGAAGGAAUAAGGCCCUACGGGUCGUAAACUUCUUUAGUCAGGGAACAAAGGGAGCCACGCGUGGCGCUGUGAGUGUACCUGAAGAAUAAGCAUCGGCUAACUCCGUGCCAGCAGCCGCGGUAAUACGGAGGAUGCGAGCGUUAUCCGGAUUUAUUGGGUUUAAAGGGUGCGUAGGCGGCUUGUCCAGUCAUCGGU